rnacentral:sRNA from 1 species
UUAUUUGUGGAUCAGAAUUUGUCAAUGUCUGUGCAAGAUAAUGAGAGCAACCGAGAACCUUCAGAUCCUAGUCAGUGUGAUGCUAACAAUAUGAAGCAUUUUGACUUGAAUAAUCCCAAACUGUCGGUCCCUGAUAAUAGACAGCUGUUAGAGCAGGAGAGCAUCAUGAAGACUCAGCCCCAACAUGAGUUUCUGGAUUUCAUAUCAAUUGCUUCAAGGACACAUGGGACAUCAUGGUCUAGUUAGAGUUAUAGUUGGCCUGAGUUUUCUCUUCAGUGGAUGUAUUUAUAUAAAUGCUGAACUGAAUUGGUUGUAUGGUUUUCCCCUAAAUCAAAAUGGAAUGUUCAUGCUGUCACCUUCACCAGCCCAAGGCAAGAUGGAACUAGUAGCAAAAAUAGCAGACCACAAACAAUGAGAUCAAAGAUGAUGCAGUCACAAAGGCUGAUUCUCAUGAAAAGAAACCCAAGAAGAUGAUGGUGGAAGCA